GGAGACGUAGCUCAGCUGGGAGAGCAACUGCUUGACGUGUAGUAGGUCAUAGGUUCGAGUCCUACCGUCUCCACGA
rnacentral:tRNA from 1 species